rnacentral:rRNA from 1 species
GGGCCUCAAAUCAGACAAGAGUACCCGCUGAACUUAGGCAUAUCRAUAAGCGGAGGA